GAUCUUUAUAUAUUAAAUAAUUUAAUAAAAAUAAGUUUAUUUUUUUUUUAAAUUAUUAAUAUAUUUUAUUGGGGUAAUAAUAAAAUUUUAAUAAUUUUUAUUUUUUAAAUUCAAUAAUAUUUGUUUUAAUUGAUCCAUUAAUAUUGAUUAAAAAGUUAAGUUACCUUAGGGAUAACAGCGUAAUGAUUUUUGAGAGUUCUUAUCGA
rnacentral:rRNA from 1 species